CUUGCUCCGCUGACGAGUGGCGAACGGGUGAGUAAUAUAUCGGAACGUACCCAAGAGUGGGGGAUAACGUAGCGAAAGUUACGCUAAUACCGCAUACGAUCUAUGGAUGAAAGCAGGGGACCUUCGGGCCUUGUGCUCCUGGAGCGGCCGAUAUCUGAUUAGCUAGUUGGUGAGGUAAAGGCUCACCAAGGCGACGAUCAGUAGCUGGUCUGAGAGGACGACCAGCCACACUGGAACUGAGACACGGUCCAGACUCCUACGGGAGGCAGCAGUGGGGAAUUUUGGACAAUGGGCGCAAGCCUGAUCCAGCAAUGCCGCGUGAGUGAAGAAGGCCUUCGGGUUGUAAAGCUCUUUUGUCAGGGAAGAAACGGCUGUGGCUAAUAUCCACGGCUAAUGACGGUACCUGAAGAAUAAGCACCGGCUAACUACGUGCCAGCAGCCGCGGUAAUACGUAGGGUGCAAGCGUUAAUCGGAAUUACUGGGCGUAAAGCGUGCGCAGGCGGUUUUGUAAGUCUGUCGUGAAAUCCCCGGGCUCAACCUGGGAAUUGCGAUGGAGACUGCAAGGCUAGAAUCUGGCAGAGGGGGGUA
rnacentral:rRNA from 1 species